rnacentral:rRNA from 1 species
UACGUAGGGACCGAGCGUUGUCCGGAAUCAUUGGGCGUAAAGAGCGUGUAGGCGGCCUUUUAAGUCCUGCGUGAAAUCCUGCGGCUCAACCGCAGACGGUCGUGGGAAACUGGAAGGCUAGAGUGCGGGAGAGGAGAGUGGAAUUCCCGGUGUAGCAGUGAAAUGCGUAGAGAUGUGGAGGAACACCGAUGGCGAAGGCAGCCCCCUGGGCCUGCACUGACGCUCAUGCACGAAAGCGUGGGGAGCAAACAGG